rnacentral:rRNA from 1 species
CAGACCUGACUGCUAUCGGAUUGAUACUAAGCCAUGCGAGUCAUUGUAGCAAUACAAGGCAUACGGCUCAGUAACGCGUAGUCAACCUAACCUAUGGACGGGAAUAACCUCGGGAAACUGAGAAUAAUGCCCGAUAGAACAUUAUACCUGGAAUGGUUUAUGUUCCAAAUGAUUUAUCGCCGUAGGAUGGGACUGCGGCCUAUCAGUUUGUUGGUGAGGUAAUGGCCCACCAAGACUAUUACAGGUACGGGCUCUGAGAGGAGUAGCCCGGAGAUGGGUACUGAGACACGGACCCAGGCCCUAUGGGGCGCAGCAGGCGAGAAAACUUUGCAAUGUGCGAAAGCACGACAAGGUUAAUCCGAGUGAUUUCUGCUAAAGAAAUCUUUUGUUAGUCCUAGAAACACUAACGAAUAAGGGGUGGGCAAGUUCUGGUGUCAGCCGCCGCGGUAAAACCAGCACCUCAAGUGGUCAGGAUGAUUAUUGGGCCUAAAGCAUCCGUAGCCGGCUCUGUAAGUUUUCGGUUAAAUCUGUACGCUUAACGUACAGGCCGCCGGGAAUACUGCAAAGCUAGGGAGUGGGAGAAGUAGACGGUACUCGGUAGGAAGUGGUAAAAUGCUUUGAUCUAUCGAUGACCACCUGUGGCGAAGGCGGUCUACUAGAACACGUCCGACGGUGAGGGAUGAAAGCUGGGGGAGCAAACCGGAUUAGAUACCCGGGUAGUCCCAGCUGUAAACUAUGCAAACUCAGUGAUGCAUUGGCUUGUGGCCAAUGCAGUGCUGCAGGGAAGCCGUUAAGUUUGCCGCCUGGGAAGUACGUACGCAAGUAUGAAACUUAAAGGAAUUGGCGGGGGAGCACCACAAGGGGUGAAGCCUGCGGUUCAAUUGGAUUCAACGCCGGA